rnacentral:rRNA from 1 species
AGAACGAACGCUGGCGGCAGGCUUAACACAUGCAAGUCGAACGCCCCGCAAGGGGAGUGGCAGACGGGUGAGUAACGCGUGGGAACAUACCCCUCGGUUCGGAAUAGCUCAGGGAAACUUGGAUUAAUACCGAAUACGGUCGAGAGGCGAAAGAUUUAUCGCCGAGGGAUUGGCCCGCGUCCGAUUAGCUAGUUGGUGAGGUAAUGGCUCACCAAGGCGACGAUCGGUAGCUGGUCUGAGAGGAUGAUCAGCCACAUUGGGACUGAGACACGGCCCAAACUCCUACGGGAGGCAGCAGUGGGGAAUAUUGGACAAUGGGCGAAAGCCUGAUCCAGCCAUGCCGCGUGAGUGAUGACGGCCUUAGGGUUGUAAAGCUCUUUCAUCAGGGACGAUAAUGACGGUACCUGAAGAAGAGCCCGGCUAACUUCGUGCCAGCAGCCGC